rnacentral:rRNA from 1 species
UGCAGUAGACGCUGAAGACUUUAGCUUGCUAGAGUUGGAAGAGUUGCGAACGGGUGAGUAACGCGUAGGUAACCUGCCUAUUAGUGGGGGAUAACUAUUGGAAACGAUAGCUAAUACCGCAUAAUAGUGUUUAACACAUGUUAGAGACUUAAAAGAUGCAAUUGCAUCACUAGUAGAUGGACCUGCGUUGUAUUAGCUAGUUGGUGGGGUAACGGCCUACCAAGGCGACGAUACAUAGCCGACCUGAGAGGGUGAUCGGCCACACUGGGACUGAGACACGGCCCAGACUCCUACGGGAGGCAGCAGUAGGGAAUCUUCGGCAAUGGGGGCAACCCUGACCGAGCAACGCCGCGUGAGUGAAGAAGGUUUUCGGAUCGUAAAGCUCUGUUGUAAGAGAAGAACGUGUGUGAGAGUGGAAAGUUCACACAGUGACGGUAACUUACCAGAAAGGGACGGCUAACUACGUGCCAGCAGCCGCGGUAAUACGUAGGUCCCGAGCGUUGUCCGGAUUUAUUGGGCGUAAAGCGAGCGCAGGCGGUUUAAUAAGUCUGAAGUUAAAGGCAGUGGCUUAACCAUUGUUCGCUUUGGAAACUGUUAAACUUGAGUGCAGAAGGGGAGAGUGGAAUUCCAUGUGUAGCGGUGAAAUGCGUAGAUAUAUGGAGGAACACCGGUGGCGAAAGCGGCUCUCUGGUCUGUAACUGACGCUGAGGCUCGAAAGCGUGGGGAGCAAACAGGAUUAGAUACCCUGGUAGUCCACGCCGUAAACGAUGAGUGCUAGGUGUUAGGCCCUUUCCGGGGCUUAGUGCCGCAGCUAACGCAUUAAAGCACUCCGCCUGGGGAGUACGACCGCAAGGUUGAAACUCAAAGGAAUUGACGGGGGGCCCGCACAAGCGGUGGGAGCAUGUGGUUUUAAUUUCGAAGC